ACAGCAGUAGCCGCGGGAAUACGUAGGGUGCGAGCGUUAAUCGGAAUUACUGGGCGUAAAGCGUGCGCAGGCGGUUGUGUAAGACAGGUGUGAAAUCCCCGGGCUUAACCUGGGAACUGCGCUUGUGACUGCACAGCUAGAGUAUGGCAGAGGGGGGUGGAAUUCCACGUGUAGCAGUGAAAUGCGUAGAGAUGUGGAGGAACACCGAUGGCGAAGGCAGCCCCCUGGGCCAAUACUGACGCUCAUGCACGAAAGCGUGGGGAGCAAACAGGAUUAGAUACCCCCGUAGUCCCUGUCUCUUAUAA
rnacentral:rRNA from 1 species